GCCACCUUAGCUCAGUCGGUAGAGCGCAAGACUCUUAAUCUUGCAGUCGCGGGUUCGAGCCCCGCAGGUGGUU
rfam:Gregarina niphandrodes unplaced genomic scaffold scaffold00067, whole genome shotgun sequence.